rnacentral:tRNA from 1 species
GCACUAGUAGCUUAAUACCCAGAGCACCGGUCUUGUAAACCGGCAGGUGAAGGUUAAACCCCUUCCUAAUGCU